rnacentral:rRNA from 1 species
AAAACCCAAAGGCGUAAUGAAAGUAAAUAGUGGAAUAUUUAUAUUAUAUGAGUUUUAUAAUUCUUUAAUAUAGAUUUCCCUAUAGGGAAGAUGGAAACCUUGUCAUUAAUUAAUACGGUGGUGGUUUACUAUCAUUUGUAUUAUUUUUGAUUAAUGGUUUCUCGCACUCCCGGGGCGCUUAUUUCUUGCUUUGCAAGUUAUUGCGCACCUAGAGCGUACACGCUGAUACCCGAAAGAUGGUGAACUAUGCCUGGCCAGGACGAAGCCAGGGGAAACCCUGGUGGAGGUCCGCAGCGAUUCUGACGUGCAAAUCGAUCGUCGGAGCUGGGUAUAGGGGCGAAAGACCAAUCGAACCAUCUAGUAGCUGGUUCCCUCUGAAGUUUCCCUCAGGAUAGCUUGCGCUCGGUUGAGAAGAGUCUCAUCCGGUAGAGCGAAUGAUUAGAGGCAUUGGGGUCGAAACGACCUCAACCUAUUCUCAAACUCCAAAUAGAUGAGAUCCCCGGCUUUCUUAAAAAUGAAGCCGUGGGAAUAGGAUCAGAGUGCCAAGUGGGCCAAUUU